rnacentral:RNase_P_RNA from 1 species
AGGUGGAGUAAGAGCCCACCGCUCCGAUGGCGACACCGGAGGCAUGGUAAACCUUACGAGUUGAAAGGCCAAAUAAGCCACGAUCCAGUGAAUGGCUCGUUCUUAUCCCGAUUCGUCGGGGUAUCGUGGCGGGUAGGCUGAUGGAGUCCGUUCGUGAGGGCGCGACCAGAUAAAUGAUAGGGACUGUCCGCCGAAAGGCUGACGGAACAGAACCCGGCUUAUGAGCUUGCAUUUUUU